rnacentral:snRNA from 13 species
AUUAUUUUUCCAAAAAAAAAAAAUCUGUUCUUAUCAGUUUAAUAUCUGAUACGUCCCCUAUCUGGGGACCAUAUAUUAAAUUGAUUUUUGGAAUAGGGAGAUGGAAUAGGGGCUUGCUCCGUCCACUCCACGCAUCGACCUGGUAUUGCAGUACCUCCAGGAACGGUGCACCCCCU